GCGCUCUUGGUGUAACGGUAACACAUGCUCACUUUCAUUUGAACAACCAAGGGGUCCCAGGUUCGACUCUCGGACAGCGCC